GCGGGAGUAGCUCAGUGGCGAGAGCAUCGGCCUUCCAAGCCGAGGGGCGCGGGUUCGAAUCCCGUCUCCCGCU
rnacentral:tRNA from 1 species